CUCCCUGUACGCAACUGGCGAUAGGCACAUUCCAACAUUGGAAGCAACGUGCUGACGUGGCCCCCCUGCCCUGCGACAUCGCGGCGGCCGGGACAACCACUGGGAAGCGUACCGCCCAUCGAAGGGCGUUCAGCCGUUCGCCUGGGCAGCCCCC
rnacentral:ncRNA from 1 species